UACGGGGGGGGCAAGCGUUGUUCGGAAUUACUGGGCGUAAAGGGCUCGUAGGCGGCCAACUAAGUCAGACGUGAAAUCCCUCGGCUUAACCGGGGAACUGCGUCUGAUACUGGAUGGCUUGAAUCCGGGAGAGGGAUGCGGAAUUCCAGGUGUAGCGGUGAAAUGCGUAGAUAUCUGGAGGAACACCGGCGGCGAAAGCGGCUCUCUGGCCCGGAUCUGACGCUGAGGCGCGAAAAGCGUGGGGAGCAAACAGGG
rnacentral:rRNA from 1 species